GAGAAAGUAUUCAACUAUGAUAUUAAAUUGCAAGUUUAAAGGAAAUUAUUAAUUUAAUUCUAUCUUA
rnacentral:tRNA from 1 species